UUUCUCUGUUUUUUGCCUCUUUAACAAGCCUCGAUGCAGUAAGCUUCAAGUUCGCCUGCCAGCCCCCCCAUUUGGAUGACGACGUCAUGCGAGUCCACCAACUUUGCUCCUUUUCUUCCCAACAGAACAAACAGAAGUCCCGACUUUCACACUUGAUCAAUAACAAAUCGGCUGCUGUGCGCCAGGAUGUGGGCUUGGAGGAAUUCAGAGGGAGCACCACAGCAGUGCGCUCUUUUUAUUGGUCUUUCUGCGCGUUAAAAACAAAUAAAAAGAAAAAAAUGUCACCGCAAAAAAGUGCUUUAAAUCAACAGACUGAUGUUCUGCGGCUUUUCACGUGGAUUACAACAGUUGCGCACGCCGACUCUCCAACGGCAGCUGAACGUUAUUCGCGCGUUUCUGUUCAGAGUGGCACACUCAAAGAGGAGGAGGACCCAUAAUUUGAGAUCACUGAGCCUUUAAUAGGAAAAGGGUUAUGGCAACUGCUCCCGCCUCUCAGCACCGCGCCGAUAAAGGAGGAGGUGUGGAUUCAUGAAGUGUCCUCAAGUCACCAAGCACCUGCAAACGCACUCCUUCAGCUUUUUCCAGAAAUAGUUUGACAACUUUACUCACUUUUCAUGACAAUUCAUGUUUUGCUACAUCUUUUUCUCUAGUGUUUCACUUAAGGAAACUAACUUUUCAAAUAAGAGAUAAGCUCUAAUUUAAUGAACAAAAACAAUCAUACAAUUUCCAGAAAGCACUAUGACUUGAUGUUUCAAGAGUUCUUCUUUUCUGAUCCCCUGUUGUCAUUUCUUUUUCUGUCGCUGACCUGAAGAUGCAUGGAGGGAGAGAGCAUUUCUUCCUGAGGGGGUAUUCGUGCCCCCACCCUCACUCCCCAUCAUCCCCACAAGGCUGAAUGGCAGGUCUCUGGAUUGGCUAAGUGAUGAAAUGAUGACCCUAUUAUGAGAAGCGAUUCCAAAAUGAGAGGUAUCAGGCAAUGAUUGGGACCCUCCCUCACCUCCACAGCAUCCCCACCAUACACACACCAUGCUGCCAGCUGCAAAGAUGAUGAUUGAUCCGCUUGAGAUGGAUCACAGGAAACGCACAUUGAAUUUUUUUUGUGUUUUAUCAAAAAUAGUUAUUUAGGGCUGCAUCCACAGGACGUUUCCAUGCUCACUCCCUGGCUUGUUCUCCAUGUGCGGCAAGGAAUAGAAGAGAUAAUUCUCCCUUUUUCUGUGACAAGACGAAUGACCUGAACUAUUAUAUCAGAAUCAACUCAAUAGACUUGGUCAGUAAAUGAUUAUUGAUUUGAAUUUAAUGAAGCCAUAGUGUGAAUUUGAGCUCCCUUAGCAGCUCCCUCUUGUAGAUUCCAGUGUCAGCAUCUAGACAGAAAUGCCAGACAUUCAAGAGAGUCUUUCACAGGCCUGCAGGUGCAUCUGGGACAGAAUACGCCUCAAGUCAGUGAAUAUCACAGAUGGUUAUUUCACAUCGUCAACAUUUAUCUGUUCCUCUCACUGGUGUGCUGUAGCUUUUUUGAUUCAUGAGGGUUCCUGUGCCUCAUGUUGUCUAAACAGACCCAGAGUACAGAAAAAGUCAGGACUUAUUUUGAAGGUGCUAUAGGUACCAUAUGCUUAUAAUCCCUUACUUAAAGGCUCUUGAGGUAUGUAGGAGGCACAUCCCUUCACAAAAAGGCAAACCGAUACAAUGUUCGAAUCAAAUGACUGCCGGGAUGCUAAAACCACAGUGUGGGAGCCAUGCCCCAGAUAUUUGCUCUGACUUAAUCCAAUUGAAAUAGUAUGAGUGAGUUGCAGGGGCUCCCAGGUCUGCUGCUUGCUUAUGUAUGUGAUGCAUAAUGGAAGUUGACAAGGUUGGUGAUAGAUCACAGCCCAGGUAAUGUAAACACAUUAAUCCCUCAGGGUUCAUGUGAAUGUUCUUUCUCUCUUUGCUCUCUCUUCUGCAUCUCCCUAUUUGAGACCCCAGAACACCCCCCCCCCGCACACACACUCACACACCACCACCAUCACCAAAAAUGUUCAUCAUCUUCCCUAAAUGCCUUAGUGGAGCACAAACCAGAAGCAGCCUUAAUCUGUCAACAUGCUCUUUAAUUGGAAGGAGAAAACAACACGUGCUUCUGGAUGUGCCAUGUCUAAGUGCACAUGCCAACGAAAUACGGAGUUCAUGGAAGAAGAGAUCCCGGGAGAGGGGGCAUAAUUAAAAGUAUCUUUUAAUAGGCUUGUAAUGCUGAGCCUGAGUCUUGUUGCCUUAAGUAGAGAGCAAAGUCUGCGGCUGGAGAUGGACAAGCGAGGGGGUUCUGCUGAGGGAGCCUGUAAGUGAUACACCACCUCAGCGUCAUCAGACAUGCAGUCUCUGCCUCGGUCACCACACUCAGGACAACAGCCACUUUCCCUCCUGCCUUGGACACCUCGGUUUAGCAGCUCCCAUGUUCUUUUGUUCUCCUAAUGAGAGAUUCUCCUCCACAACAUCCACUCUCCAACCCUCCUUCCACUGUCAGUCUGUACUCCAACUCUCAAAAUCAGCUGGGAUUAUGGGGUUGAUUUUGGGCCUGCUACACUGUAAUCAAAUGAGACUGCUUGGAGGAGAGGAGAUGGAGGGGGUGGAGUAUUAUGUUCUGUUGUGCAUUCCACUGCAGCAUUGUUGCUUUUUUGUUUUCGUCAGGGCGGGCUUUGAUGCUGGAUCCCCUUACCUUUGUAGUCCCGGUAGCCAUGUUUCAUAAACACAGAAUGGGAAACAUCCUCGGCAUUAGAAAUUUAGAUCGCUGCUUUUCUCCUGCCACUCUACAUUCUGCUCUCUGCCUGGCAGCAUUCUCCCAUCCCAGAGCUGAGGUAUUAAGUUUCCUCCCCUAUGCCUCUGAUUCAUUUAAACUUGUCACAAUCAGCCCCAGUUAUUCACUGUGUCAUGUAUAAUCUAUGGCAACAACAAUGCCAACAUGGCUUCAUGUUCUUCUCCCUCACUGGGCACUGCAACCCUCUGCUGCCACGGUUUUGUUUCAGCAGAACUGCGUGAACAAACUUGCAUGUGUCCUCACAGCUAGCGAGUUGGCAGAAGUUUAUGCUAGACUUGUUUCUAUGAUGUAGAGAAACAUGUUUAUGAGUCUUGCCCCCUUUGUUUUAUAUUGUCAGUGCUCGGUUGCCUUUUAAUGUAUGUGAACAUCUCUGAGUGUAACACAUUAAAAUGAUCCAAAUUCAAUAAAACCCCGUCUUUAGCUAUAAAAUCUAUCAGUUUUAUGUCUGAAUCUUAAUGAGACAAUUCAUAUUUAAACGUCUGCCACUGUUGUAAAUCGCUGCAAAAUAAUAAAAUGACGCAUUAUUUUUAGUGAAUGUGUGUAUUCUUUAGGGCUCAGAUAUGUUCUGUACUUUUUUUGAAUCAUGAGGGGUUUUUUUCUUCCUCCUCCUCUUCCUCUUCUUCGAGAGUAUCCGUUUUGUCCAACAUCUGACACACUGCCCUGGGUGAUUGAGCCAGACGUGGAAAUCCAAAGCAGAGAUGCUCCCCUUAAUGCCUGACACCUGGUGUAGAUUUGGAAAGGAUUGCACUACAGCUAUCCAGCCUCUGUCAGUCAACCCAUGUGCUGGGAUUAGGCUGAGGGGGUGCUGAAACCUGAUGCGUGUUAUCCCUUUGAUACAGAUCACCGUCUGUCAGACGGACAACAACUGGACCUGUUACUCAGGAGUGCUGCUGCUCACCUCACAGCUCGCAUCUGCGGGCUGUGCUGGGACAGGACAGCCAGCCAACAUAAACUCAGCACGAACAUCAAAGCCUGGCAGCCUGGACUGUGGCACCUGAACAUGCUGAGCGCAAUGCACUGGAGCGCCGGCUGACCUGGGAAUUGAGACAAAUUUGUGCAUAUUAUAGUUGAAGAAAAACAGCCAGGAAGCAGUUUUUAACGUUCAAAGGAUUAUAGAAAGUUUCCUGUUGUUGUUUUUUUGGAGCAGGUGAUUUUCCCAAAUUCAAGAACGCAGAGAUUCUAGUUCAGUCUCAGUCACGGCUAACUUAUGCUUCAGGUUAACAGAAUUACACGGAUGAACACAGGUGGCAGUUUUUUCCUCAACAUUAAUGUGAUGCAGUUUGCACCAGUGAAACAAAUUUGAGUGCCCACUCGGUGCGCUUUGCAAGCAUACUGUUUAUGUUGACACAUGCAACUCUCUUCCUGAUGCAAAUGCAAUCUAAACAUUAAGCGGAGGGAAGGCAAGCGUAGCCCAUAAAGGCUGUGAGCUCCAAACACUUUGAACAGACAACUAUCACUAAUCACUCCCAGAGCAGUGCGGCGUGUAAUUACUCUGCCAAACGUUUGCCUUUCACAGCUUAGCACCGGGAGCCCUGACCCUGCGCCUCCCUGUCUUUCCUCACCACCAUGCAUGUGGAGGGGUUGCCCCCCCCCAUGUUUUUACCACGGGGGUAGGCAAGCUGAGCUCCCUCACAAUAUUUUCAGGAAAAAUGGGGAAGGAAAAAGAGAACACAGGGAGGGAGAGGGCUGAGGCUAGUGCUUCCGGCUUUGUGGGAGCCCAUUUAAACAGGCUUUGAAACCUUAGCCAUCCGGAGAUCAGAAAUAGCCUUAUUGACUGCAUGGGUCUGGAAGUGACCGAGCACUCCAUGUUCUGAGAGUUCAUCCCACCAAACAGUUGGAGCCCUGGAAGGGGGGGGGGGGCAUCUACAAAGUCUCAGGGCAUUAAUUUUACAUCAGGAGAAUAUUCUGUUUUUCUUAUUAUAAGUGACACACGCUUGUAUCUGCCUUUCUUGGAGGGGGUGUUGCAUAAUUUCUUUGUAUUGUCUGAGGAGUUGGAGACAUCCAAUUCUCCUCGCUUGCCUGUCCCUGAGUCACAUUUAUUGAUAUUACUGAUGCGGCUGUCACUCUUCGGUGUGAUCUGCCCCUCACUAGUAGGAUGUUGAUAAGAUGACACAAUGCAAAUAUGAAGUGUGAAGGGGGGCGGGGGCUUGGCAAGCAGGUAGUGUGUGCUGGGACCGGCAUCCCAUAAUGACUAUUAGCUGGAUUUCACAGCCAGCUUCUGAUCUCUGGCAAUGACAGGGGCCUUUAUAAGAGGAUGGGUGAGCUGCAGCCCCUCCCCAUAGCCCCCAUUCAUGUGCAUGAAUACAUGCAGUGAAGAGCACACAUACAACAGAAAGAAAAAGAAAAAACAUGCUUUUGAGCCAUACUUACAUACAGUUUUACUGCAUCUGUUUUUUAAAGAGCAGAAAUCUGGCAUACACUCUUAACAUAGAAGCUUUAUCUGAAUUUCACAAAUAGUUUUUGUCCUGUGUGUGACCAGCCCUUUACAAGUUCAGUUUCACUCACUUAAAUUGCCCUCUGGUUGCUUUAUGAUCUUGUACAGACAUUUCAAAAAGCUCCGCUUUUAUCAUGAAUAUAGCAAUUUCACUUUGUCAGUCACUUGUGACUAAAUAUACAUCUGCGAUUAACUUCACAACCAGACUAUCUCGUACUACUUUGAUAAUAUAAUGGGCUCUGGUUGCUCUUGGUAACAAUCAUCUGAUAUGUGGGUUCAGAACAUUUAAUACUCCACUUACAACAUUAUGCAGGCUUUUUGAGGAAAGAAUAAUGGUGUGUGGUGGCUUUAAACUGGUGAAAUUUGUGUGUCUACUCUUUUAAAUCCUUUGUUGGAGCAUUUUGCAAAGAUGAAAACAGCACCCACCCCCCACUACUUCCCCUCUCCAGUUUCUAUUCUACACAAAUUAGCUAUGGUCCUUGAGGGCAAAAUGACAAGAGGUUACUGGAAGACUAUGUGUUUAAUUAAUUGAAAAAUGCUUAAAUUGCUUUUACAGUUGUUAUGUGAAGUGAAAAAAGGGAAUCCAUGUUGCCAGUACUCACCCAUAAUUAGCACCCACGGGAAUUAAAUAUUUAGGAUUAGCUGUGUUGCGGCACUUAGGACACAAAUUUCUAUUUAAACUAUGAAAGCGAGUCUGUCUUAAGUGCAUGAGUCUGUGUGGACAGCCGUGCAAAGGGGAACAGCACAGGAUAUUUCAGCAAGACACCCCAGUGGUAUUCCGGGUCCUUCCACAUCACAUGUGUAAGAGAUAUGGCAGUUGUAUUCCCAGGGGUUAGGCAUUACUUAGAGUAUUUAGUUUUCUAAUUAGGCUAAGGGCCUUCGUCCAUGCCUGCCGCCACCAUGGGAGCCAACGAGAAUUUCCUCUCAUAUGUGUCAAAGUCUGAGCCUGAAAGAAAAAAAAAGAAGAAAAUGGAGAAAGUAAGAGGAUAAAGCAUGUGUGGAAGUUUGUGUGAAAUGCACGGGGCAAGAGAGACAUAAAGACCUUUGUUUAUUCCAACUUUAAUUACGUGUUGCCUUUAAUGGCUCGGCUGGUGUGUUUGAGGCUGUCCAGGGAGAAGCUGUGGAGCCUUAAUGAUCUGUAGAAGUGGAUGUCAGCCGAGCCGUCAGAGACUCCAAGCACAUUUUUACCGUCCCCUUUGGUUUGGGCCUGGAGGCGACAAUGACAGUGGUGUUCAUGCAAUGCCCCACCAGACCAGACUAAAGGACAACUUCAGUGUUGGGUCAGCUGGUCUCACAGAGGGGCCACUUAAAAGCAUCGGCAGCUGAUUGCAGCAACUGUUACACAUGUCAGUGCAACUCAGGUUUCCUACUAAUGGGAAAAAAAUAAAAGGUAUUUCCUCCUUUUAAAUCCUUUAAA